CCUACGGGUGGCAGCAGUGGGGAAUAUUGCACAAUGGGGGGAACCCUGAUGCAGCAAUGCCGCGUGAAGGAUGAAGGUUUUCGGAUUGUAAACUUCUUUUGUACGGGACGAAGAAAAUGACGGUACCUGACUAAGAAGCCCCGGCUAAAUACGUGCCAGCAGCCGCGGUAAUACGUAUGGGGCAAGCGUUAUCCGGAUUUACUGGGUGUAAAGGGAGCGCAGGCGGCCUGCCAAGUCUGGUGUGAAAACCCGGGGCCCAACCCCGGGCCUGCAUUGGAAACUGGCGGGCUGGAGUGUCGGAGGGGCAGGCGGAAUUCCUAGUGUAGCGGUGAAAUGCGUAGAUAUUAGGAGGAACACCGGUGGCGAAGGCGGCCUGCUGGACGAUGACUGACGCUGAGGCUCGAAAGCGUGGGGAGCAAACAGGAUUAGAUACCCCAGUAGUC
rnacentral:rRNA from 1 species